AUUGAACGCUGGCGGCAUGCUUUACACAUGCAAGUCGAACGGUAACAGGUUAAGCUGACGAGUGGCGAACGGGUGAGUAAUGCAUCGGAACGUGCCCGAUCGUGGGGGAUAACGCAGCGAAAGCUGCGCUAAUACCGCAUACGAUCUGAGGAUGAAAGCGGGGGACCGUAAGGCCUCGCGCGAUCGGAGCGGCCGAUGUCAGAUUAGGUAGUUGGUGGGGUAAAGGCUCACCAAGCCGACGAUCUGUAGCUGGUCUGAGAGGACGACCAGCCACACUGGGACUGAGACACGGCCCAGACUCCUACGGGAGGCAGCAGUGGGGAAUUUUGGACAAUGGGCGCAAGCCUGAUCCAGCAAUGCCGCGUGCAGGAAGAAGGUUCUAUGGAUUGUAAACUUCUUUUCUCAGAGAAGAAAAUUUGACGGUAUCUGAGGAAUAAGCAUCGGCUAACUCCGUGCCAGCAGCCGCGGU
rnacentral:rRNA from 1 species